rnacentral:rRNA from 1 species
AUGCUCUCCAUGCUUCUCAUGACGCCAGCGACGGCACUCUUCUUCCUUCGCGCCGCCGGCAGCGAGGUCAAGGAUGAUGUGGAAGAUCGCGUUCGUUGGUGGCCGCUACUCUGGUGGGCGGCUGUAGCGUUGUUCAGUGUGGCGAUGUUGGCGCAACUCAUCGGGGUCGUUCUUCAAAUGUAUGGAUUUCCAGAGGUUUCUUACCUUCUCCGCACCGCGGCUCUGUUGGGCAUGCUCCUACUCGUCACCUUCUUCUGCAUCCGUGCUAAUGUGGCGCUGUGGAGGAUGAAUCCACAAGAGCCGGCUGCAGUUGUUGUCGCAGUAGCUAGAUUGAUGUGUAUAGAGUAG